rnacentral:rRNA from 1 species
GACGUAGGGUGCGAGCGUUGUCCGGAUUUAUUGGGCGUAAAGAGCUCGUAGGCGGCUCGUCGCGUCGACCGUGAAAACCCGCAGCUUAACUGCGGGCUUGCGGUUGAUACGGGCGGGCUAGAGUUCGGUAGGGGAGACUGGAAUUCCUGGUGUAGCGGUGAAAUGCGCAGAUAUCAGGAGGAACACCGGUGGCGAAGGCGGCUCACUGGCUCGUAACUGACGCUCAGGCGCGACAGCGUGGGGAUCAAACAGG